rnacentral:rRNA from 1 species
CACGUAGGGGCCGAGCGUUGUCCGGAUUCAUUGGGCGUAAAGAGCUCGUAGGCGGUUCAGUCAGUCGGGUGUGAAAUCUCCGGGCUCAACUCGGAGGGGCCACCCGAUACUGCUGUGACUUGAGUCCGGUAGGGGAGUGGGGAAUUCCUGGUGUAGCGGUGAAAUGCGCAGAUAUCAGGAGGAACACCGGUGGCGAAGGCGCCACUCUGGGCCGGUACUGACGCUGAGGAGCGAAAGCGUGGGUAGCAAACAGG